rnacentral:rRNA from 1 species
AGCGAACGCUGGCGGCAGGCUUAACACAUGCAAGUCGAACGGGCAUAGCAAUAUGUCAGUGGCAGACGGGUGAGUAACGCGUGGGAACGUACCUUUUGGUUCGGAACAACACAGGGAAACUUGUGCUAAUACCGGAUAAGCCCUUGCGGGGAAAGAUUUAUCGCCGAAAGAUCGGCCCGCGUCUGAUUAGCUAGUUGGUAGGGUAAUGGCCUACCAAGGCGACGAUCAGUAGCUGGUCUGAGAGGAUGAUCAGCCACAUUGGGACUGAGACACGGCCCAAACUCCUACGGGAGGCAGCAGUGGGGAAUAUUGGACAAUGGGCGAAAGCCUGAUCCAGCCAUGCCGCGUGAGUGAUGAAGGCCCUAGGGUUGUAAAGCUCUUUUGUGCGGGAAGAUAAUGACGGUACCGAAAGAAUAAGCCCCGGCUAACUUCGUG